rnacentral:snRNA from 1 species
AGCUUUGCGCAGUGGCAGUAUCGUAGCCAAUGAGGUUUAUCCGAGGCGCGAUUAUUGCUAAUUGAAAACUUUUUUUUUUUUUAAAUGAUUACGUCAUUUAAGCUUCACUGGAUAUAGAAGAAAUUUUAACUCAGACAUUUAAAGCUUUUGGUCU